CUCGGAGACGUUGGCAGAAGCACACGGAAGAAGAAUGCUGGCUUUUUAGGUACAGACAUGAAUGUUGCGGAAGUGGCGAGCUUGUUGCUACGGACAGAAGAAAAGUUCUCAGCGUACCUGGCAAGGAUCAACAGCGUCAUCCUUACUCCCCUGUUGCAGUCAGGCUCUUUUGAGCAUCUGGAUCUUUUCUUGCUGUUGAACGACCAUUUCCACAUUCUCUGGGACUUGACGGAAGAGUGCACCCGAACCUUGAAGCAAACCGUUG